GAUGAACGCUGGCGGCGUGCCUAAUACAUGCAAGUCGAUCGAACGGACGAGAAGCUUGCUUUUCUGAUGUUAGCGGCGGACGGGUGAGUAACACGUGGAUAACCUACCUAUAAGACUGGGAUAACUUCGGGAAACCGGAGCUAAUACCGGAUAAUAUUUUGAACCGCAUGGUUCAAAAGUGAAAGACGGUCUUGCUGUCACUUAUAUAUGGAUCCGCGCUGCAUUAGCUAGUUGGUAAGGUAACGGCUUACCAAGGCAACGAUGCAUAGCCGACCUGAGAGGGUGAUCGGCCACACUGGAACUGAGACACGGUCCAGACUCCUACGGGAGGCAGCAGUAGGGAAUCUUCCGCAAUGGGCGAAAGCCUGACGGAGCAACGCCGCGUGAGUGAUGAAGGUCUUCGGAUCGUAAAACUCUGUUAUUAGGGAACAACAUAUGUGUAAGUAACUGUGCACAUCUUGACGGUACCUAAUCAGAAAGCCACGGCUAACUACGUG
rnacentral:rRNA from 1 species